AUUCCGGAUGAGCCCCCAAAUGAAAGAUCCCCGAAGAGAGACCCUUUCUAAAGUCGCGGGAAAUCGCGGACCCCAGACACAGAGAGACCA
rnacentral:miRNA from 14 species